ensembl:lncRNA
GUAAAGGCUCAGGGAUAUCACUUCUUUCUUGCUUCUGUCUUACCAUCCUGAGUAACUCAUUGCAAAGUCUUUCACCUUUCUCUCAACCCCUUACAAUCUGUGGAGAAAUGAGUGUGAUUGGAUGGGGGAGGGGAGGGAAGGGGGGGAAGGCAGCCAGGCUUUGAAUGCUUGUGGGUAGCUCUCCUUUCCCGCCUUUUGCCCUGCUGAACGAUUAAUUGGCUGCAGAACGCACCCUGCCCCAUCCGGGAGUAUAGGGAAACAGAAGACACAAGCGUCGGCAGUCAGUGCUCCACUGACGCCUUAACAGUCAGCUGAGUCGGGAUUUAACUGCGUACUUCACGUGCCAACCGCUGCUACACCGUAAAGAGAAUGACCCAUUACGCUGCCCUGCCAUUAACUUGCCCCGGGUUAGAACCCGGCCAGUGGGCUUUCUGAUUAGGCGGCGUUUUGGUGCUGACACACCAUGCCGUUCUGAGAUAAGUAAAUCGAGGCUGAUUUCCCUAAGAUCUCACCAGGAGUAAUUGCCAAAGCUGGAAUCGAAUUCCUGUUGCAAUUUGACUCUAGAGCCUAAGCUCCUAACAGCUGGUAUAUACUGUCUCUCAUGCUAACAGCUAGUGUCCAGAGAGAGGGCACACAUGGUCCCGGGGAAUCCUCACAGCCACCCCAGGAAGAAGAAUGACGACAGCACCCAUUAAAGCAGACAACUGAGGCUCAUGGAGGUGAAGACACUCAGCUCACACAGCUGGUCCAUGGUUGAGCAAGGAGUAGAGUGAAUGAUACCUAAUCUUCUGAAUCCAAAUCCACAUCUUAAUCUCUCCUCACACUGCUUCCUUCCCAUUUGACUGAUGGAGAAACUGAGGCCCUGAGGAAAAUCAAAGCUGGAAUUCAGAUCCAGAUCCAUGAGACCCAGUAGAGCACCCCCUAUACCACAUUGCCUCCAAGAAUUCGGUGUCUAGUAGAUCCUGUGUUUGGACAUGACUGAAGUGACUAAGCACACACAGCACAGAUCCUAUGUUAGAUGAGGUGAAAAGUCUUCUCAGCCAACCAGCCUUGUCUGGUAUAGGAAUUGUUAUUGUCCCCAUUUUACAGUUCUGGAGGCUGGAUUCAAAAUCAAGGUGCCAGCUGAGUUGACUUCUCCUCAAUCCUUCCAUUGACUUGCAGACAGCUGCCAUCUCCCUGUGUCUUCACACGGCCUUGCCUCUGCUCGUGCACACUACUGUUGUCUCUUCCUUUUCUUACAAGGUGCCAUAAACUGAAUGUUUGUUUACCCCCUCCCUCCCACAUUCAUAUGUGAAACCUAAUCCCCAAUGUGAGGAUAUUUGGAGAGGAGGCC